rnacentral:rRNA from 1 species
AGUGAACGCUGGCGGUAGGCCUAACACAUGCAAGUCGAACGGCAGCACAGUAAGAGCUUGCUCUUACGGGUGGCGAGUGGCGGACGGGUGAGGAAUACAUCGGAAUCUACUUUUUCGUGGGGGAUAACGUAGGGAAACUUACGCUAAUACCGCAUACGACCUACGGGUGAAAGCAGGGGAUCUUCGGACCUUGCGCGAUUGAAUGAGCCGAUGUCGGAUUAGCUAGUUGGCGGGGUAAAGGCCCACCAAGGCGACGAUCCGUAGCUGGUCUGAGAGGAUGAUCAGCCACACUGGAACUGAGACAAGGUCCAGACUCCUACGGGAGGCAGCAGUGGGGAAUAUUGGACAAUGGGCGCAAGCUUGAUCCAGCCAUACCGCGUGGGUGAAGAAGGCUUUCGGGUUGUAAAGCCAUUUUGUUGGGAAAGAAAAGCAGCAGGUUAAUACCCCGCUGUUCUGACGGUACCCAAAGAAUAAGCACCGGCUAACUUCGUG